UGAUCCAUCAUUCUCUCUUUUGGUCUUGGUCUUUUGUUUCUCUCUCUAUAAUUUCUGAGAGCUCAGCCUCUUGUCUUGGUCUUGGUCUUUUGUUUCUCUCUCUAAAAUAUUUGAGAGCUCAGCCCUUAUUGAAUCUUCAGAUGGGUCUGAGUCUCUCUCUAGAACUUUGAGAUUAUUUUGGUCUGUCUCUCGACAUUUUGGUUGGAGGUUUCAUUCUCUCUCUAGAACUUUAACAAGGUUUUGCUGUUAAUGUUGGUUUUGCUAUAGAGAAUCCCCAAAUCUAAUAGGUUUUCUUGUUAAAGAGAUUACACGGAAUAUCAAUACCCAAUUUUAACAGGGUCAAGUUGGUUUAUUCUACUCAUUUAGUUUCUUAUUUUUUUCUUCAAAUUUUCUGCAUUUUUGGUAUUUUUACCAUUAAUGGUAUGUUCAUACUGCGCUGUGAUCAUUCGCGGAUUAUUUGCCUUUUUUGAGUUUUGCUACCUCUUAUGAGUCCAUCGACUCUCAUUUCAUCUCAGAGACAGUGAGAACACGAUGUAAGUUGAAUUGGGUGUGAGAAUUGUGUUUCUAGUUGUAGAUAUGCUCUGCUUGUUUUUUAGCAUCUAAAUGUUCAGUGAGCAUUGCAUGAUAUAAGAACAAACUUCAAUCUCAACCAUUACAUUUUGUAAGAUAUGCAUUAAAUGGUUUGUACUAAGAAAUCAUAUUCAAAAUAUACAUUUUACACCUCAAAUCAAUGGAAUACAUAAUGAAUGGUCAAGACAGACAGUUUCAAGCUUUCACAAUACCAAAUAGGUGAAAAUAACAACACCACAAUUUAUCAAAUAGGUUUCCUAGCUUUCAGGCUACCAAAUUUCACUUUCCUCCCUUAUUCUAGGAAAAUCAAUGACUGUGGUUUUACUGGAGAAACUACAGAUAAAGUUAUCAAACGCAGCACCCUAAAAGGCCAGAGAGGUCACAUUUUAUGGUAUUUGGAAAUCGUCUCCUUUAUCAUUUCAACAAAUCCAUUUUCAGGUAAAUUUGUUUUACCCUACUCUCUGAGACAUUUCAGUGUUCCUUUUCUACAUAGCCUUGAUUGUAUUUAUAUAUUCCUUACUUCUACCUUUCUGGCAUUUCGAUUUUUUUUUAAUAGUUUUUCUCUGUUUCAUUUGCACAAUCUUUGUCUGAGUUAAAUAUAUUAUCCAUCAAUCUGUUGAUCUUCUUUUGGCACGGUUUUUACCCUAAACCAUGAAGUAUCUCUCUCUCUCUCUCUAUCUUUUUUCUGUUUUGCAUUUUGCCCUAAAUCAUUAGUCUCUUGCUCUCUCUCACUAUCGUUUUACUAGUUUAAUUUUUUCCCUAUAUUAUGAAGCAUCUCUCUCUCUGAUCUAAAACCCUGCCUUUUUGCUCAUGAGCUUUAUUUAUCACUUAUUUAUCAUCAGGUUUUCUACUUUAAUCUUUGAAUUAGAGCAAUUGAAUCUUUCAUUGCUUAAAAAAAAACUUGAAUCCUUCAUCGAAUUUUCCCUGAAUUAUGAAAUAGAUCUCUCUCUCUAUCUAUCUAUAACUAGAAAUGUGAGAUCCUCUCUCACUAGCUUAUUUAUCAAGGGUUUUUUUUCUAUAAAAUCCGUAGACCAAAAUGGAUACAUUUUCAUGCUCUCUCUCUCUUUCUAAGUUGAAGUGUUAGAUUCUUAUUUUCUAGAUUACUUUUCAUUCAAGUUGUUGUCGCCUUUUAGUUGUAUCCUUAGGCUGAGAUGGGUUUAUUUUCCAUAAAUUUUUCCCUGAACCAUGAAAUAGGUUAUUCUACCUCUAACGGGAAACUAGAUCUCUUUAUUUACCAUAUAUAUUUAUUAGAAGUUCGUCA